rnacentral:rRNA from 1 species
UACGUAGGGGGCAAGCGUUGUCCGGAAUCAUUGGGCGUAAAGAGCGUGUAGGCGGCCAGAAAAGUCCGCUGUGAAAACUCGAGGCUCAAUUUCGAGCUGUCGGUGGAAACUUUCUGGCUAGAGUCCGGAAGAGGAGAAUGGAAUUCCUGGUGUAGCGGUGAAAUGACGCAGAUAUCAGGAAGAACACCCGUGGCGAAGGCGGUUCUCUGGGACGGUACUGACGCUGAGACGCGAAAGCGUGGGGAGCGAACAGG